rnacentral:rRNA from 1 species
UGGGGAAUCUUGGACAAUGGGGGCAACCCUGAUCCAGCCAUGCCGCGUGGGUGAAGAAGGCCUUAGGGUUGUAAAGCCCUUUCAGUCGUGACGAUGAUGACGGUAGCGACAGAAGAAGCCCCGGCUAACUCCGUGCCAGCAGCCGCGGUAAUACGGAGGGGGCUAGCGUUGUUCGGAAUUACUGGGCGUAAAGCGCGCGUAGGCGGACUUUCAAGUCAGGGGUGAAAUCCCGAGGCUCAACCUCGGAACUGCCUUUGAUACUGAUGGUCUUGAGUCCGAGAGAGGUGAGUGGAAUUCCUAGUGUAGAGGUGAAAUUCGUAGAUAUUAGGAAGAACACCAGUGGCGAAGGCGGCUCACUGGCUCGGUACUGACGCUGAGGCGCGAAAGCGUGGGGAGCAAACAGGAUUAGAUACCCGUGUAGUCC